rnacentral:rRNA from 1 species
ACGAACGCUGGCGGCAUGCCUAACCCAUGCAAGUCGCACGAGACCUUCGGGUCUAGUGGCGCACGGGUGCGUAACGCGUGGGAACCUGCCCUUAGGUUCGGAAUAACUCCCCGAAAGGGGUGCUAAUACCGGAUAAUGUCUUCGGACCAAAGAUUUAUCGCCUUUGGAUGGGCCCGCGUUGGAUUAGCUAGUUGGUAGGGUAAAAGCCUACCAAGGCGACGAUCCAUAGCUGGUCUGAGAGGAUGAUCAGCCACACUGGGACUGAGACACGGCCCAGACUCCUACGGGAGGCAGCAGUGGGGAAUAUUGGACAAUGGGCGAAAGCCUGAUCCAGCAAUGCCGCGUGAGUGAUGAAGGCCUUAGGGUUGUAAAGCUCUUUUACCCGGGAUGAUAAUGACAGUACCGGGAGAAUAAGCUCCGGCUAACUCCGUG